CAAAAGGGUGUUCUACGUUUAUAUGGCACACGCGAUCGAGUUUCUUGAAAAAGGAUUCGGUCGGGUGAGAUAUGGUGAUCAAAACAUACCUUGCACGCAUUUUUUUCUCCGGAAAGCUGUUGACUGCUGAUAAUAAUCGAAAUGACUGCGCGAAAUGCUCAGUUUCAUUUUUAUGCUUCG